rnacentral:rRNA from 1 species
UACGGAGGGUGCAAACGUUGCUCGGAAUCAUUGGGCGUAAAGCGCCCGUAGGCGGCCCAGCAAGUCGGGUGUGAAAGCCCUCGGCUUAACCGAGGAAGUGCAUUCGAAACUACUGAGCUUGAAUACUGGAGAGGAUCGCGGAAUUCCCGGUGUAGAGGUGAAAUUCGUAGAUAUCGGGAGGAACACCAGUGGCGAAGGCGGCGAUCUGGACAGAUAUUGACGCUGAGGUGCGAAAGCGUGGGGAGCAAACAGG